ensembl:lncRNA
AUAAAUAAUAACAAGAAGAAGAAGAAAAAGAAGAAGCACCUGAAAAAAAUGUGGGCGGGGCUAUUCAUUACCGGAGUUUUUGAAUAACUGGAAAAGAUUACAAACGUGUACGUCUUUACCUGAGUAACAUCGACAGAGUAACUCGCACUUUUUAAUUUAUUUAUUUAAUUAUUUGAGUCGAAGGAGGAAAUGCGAGAUUGGAUUUAACAUGGGAGCGCCAGCAGCAGCUGGGAUAAGUGAUGGAUGGAGCGAGUUUUACUGCGGUCCGGGAUUUUCCAAACAGGGGGCUGGAAAGGAAUUGCACUGGAGCACAGCAGGGGAAAACUCCAACAGCUAAAGUUGCUGUAAAAUGUUUUGAAUAGUUCAUAACAUUUUCAGUGGUCAUUGAAAACAAAGGCAAGCUCAAUUUCCCUUGAUGGAGGAAUUUGGAUAUACCACUUAACAAAAAAAAUCAAGAAGUGAAACUUCGAGUGGAAGUGAAAGCACAGGAGAAAAAGAAGACGCAGAAGUUAGAUCGUAACCUAAUGAUCCAGAAGAAACCCAUGUCUCAGCCUCUAAACCAGUGUUUUAGAAGUUCAUCCCUAAAUUCUCAGUAAGCUUGUUUUUCAACUCUUGUAUAUCAUUGGAUGUUCAUACCUGGGUGCAUAACAGCCACUAGAACAAGAUGUACAGUCCAACACGGAAUAGAACAGCAAGAGCUGAACUAACUUCAGUUCAGGCAGCACAAGAUGCCCUUCGACCAACACAAGAUGCCGUUCAGCCCCUUCGACCAACACAAGAUGCUGUUCAGCCCCCUCGGCCAACACAAGAUGCCGUACAGUUCUUUCGACCAACACAAGAUGCCGUACGGCCUCCGCGGCCAACACAAGAUGCCGUACAGUUCUUUCGACCAACACAAGAUGCCGUACAGUUCUUUCGACCAACACAAGAUGCCGUACAGUUCUUUCGACCAACACAAGAUGCCGUACGGCCCCCGCGGCCAACACAAGAUGCCGUACGGCCCCCGCGGCCAACACAAGAUGCCGUACGGCCCCCGCGGCCAACACAAGAUGCCGUACGGCCCCCUCGGCCAACACAAGAUGCCGUUCGGUUCCUUCGACCAACACAAGAUGCCGUUCGGUUCCUUCGACCAACACAAGAUCCCGUUCAGGCCCUUCGACCAACACAAGAUGCCGUUAGGGCUUUUCAGCCAAGACAAGAUGCCGUUCGGUUCCUUCGACCAACACAAGAUGGCCUUCAGGCCCUUCAAACAACACAAGAUGCCCUUCAGGUAAAACAAGACGCCCUCCGGGCAACACAAGACGCCCUCCGGGCAACACAAGACGCCCUCCGGGCAACACAAGAUACCUUUCGGGCAAAACGAGAUGACCUUCGGGUCCUUCAGGCAACACAAGAUAACCUUCGGCUCCUUCAGGUAACACAAGAUGACCUUCGGGCAAAACAAGACGCCCUUCGGGUCCUUCAGGUAAAACAAGAUGCCCUUCAGGCAAAACAAGAUGCCCUUUAUGCAAAACAAAAUGCCAUUCAUGCAAAGCAAGAUGCACUUCGGGCCCUUGAGGCAAAACAACAUGCCAUUCAGGUCCUUCAGGCAAAACAAGAAGCCCUUCGGGCAACACAAGAUGCCCUUCAGGCGAAACAAGAUUCUCUUCGGGCAACACAAGAUGCCCUUCAGGCAAAAGAAGGUGCCCUUCGGGCAACACAACAUGCCCUUCAGGCAGCACAAGAUGCCCUUCGGGCAACAGAACAUGCCCUUCAGGCAACACAAGAUGCCCUUGGGUCAAGACUAGAUAUCCGUCAGCCUCUUCAGGCAACACGAGAUGGUCUUAAUGACACUUGUUCACCUUUUGUUGACGAAUCAGCAGCAGGUAGCAGUUCUGACUAUGAAGAAAUCAUGAAACGCAUUAAUAUGGAGUCUGAAACUGUGUUGGAUGAUGAUUAAAUAAACUUUAAUGAAAAUCUGCUCCACUCUCAGCUUAUCCCCUCUUUCACUUCUCCAGUAAUUUUAGUGGGCCCUGGUGGACACCCUGCCUCUUGCCUUGUUCUCACAGGAUGGUCUCACUGAGCAAAAUACCCUGUGCAAACAACUUCACACAAGUAAACAGCUCACCUGAUAUGCUGUUAAAGGUCUUUACGCCUGUUAUUAAUGAUGAUUUUUAAUGAUGAAACCUGCCUGUUCCAGUGCUCAUGUCCAGGUCUGUACCAGUGCAGUGUGACCGGCCUGGUGUUUUUAAUGCAGGGAGAAGGAGACGUGGUUUACAGGACUGUCCCUUGGAACAGGAGGCUGCUGACCCAACACCACAAGAAGCCUGCAGGACCCCUGUUUGACAUUAAAUGCCAGCAGCAGUCUGUGUGUCAGCUUCAUCUCCCACACUGAGGUCAUCUCCACAGGUGGAGGUCAGUUCUUGCAGGUCGCUCAUGUGAAUGACGAGGGCAUCGAGUUUAUUAACUCUCACCUCAGGAUGAAGACUCUCCUCCUGACCCAGUCCAAGCUUUGGUUCUGCUCUUCUACAAACCCCUUGUUGAUCCUGAUCUCAGAUCUUUCCUCAGUGUGUUGUUGCUUCCAAGGAACAUCGUGAUCCGUGAUUUACAGAAAACCAGGAGGAAACUAAAUGGAGAUGAGAGGUACAUAGACACUUCUCCUCACUGCAAACUGCAUCCAAAGCAGGUUUACACUCUGUCCACUGUUCCUGAGGAUGAUCUGAUUGAAGUUCAACCAAAAGAGAGAGAUUUUUAUGAUAAGUACCACGACAGUUACUUUACGACAUUCCAGGUGAUUUUAAGAAGAAUCCUCACAGAUGUUAACCUCAGUCUGAAAGAAAAGAGCAGCUCCACAUGUGUUUGGGAAAGAGAUGUCUUUUCUCCCCUACAGUGGGAACUUUGAAUCGUCCUCCUUCUGAGAGGCUGGCAAACACACGAAGCUGCUUCGUUGAAGGGAUAUCAGGACCUGUUCUCAGCAGCCUGAUCGACAAACUGCUGGAGAAAACAGUGAUAACUGAUGCAGAAAGGGAGGAAGCAGACAGGAUGAAAAACAAAAGGGAAAAAGCACGUUUUGUUAUUGACACUGUGAGGAGUAAAGGUGAAGCUGCCAGUUCAGAGUUAACUUUCUCCAUGAGAAUGAUCACAUCCUCUGUCAGCACCUCAGGUUAAACUGAAUGGAUAUUUUAUGGAUCAUAAUGUGUUUCUUUAAUGACGCCAAAGUCAUUUUUAUCUUUCUUUGACAACUGAAGUGAGUGAAGAAAGACAUUUUUUAAAUGUUAUUCUGAAACCAUAUAAUUUAAACUUUUCAUCAAAUUUUGCAGCUGCAUUUAUUUUUAUUCUGCACUUUGUCACAGACGUUAGAGUUCUUCUGUUAAGUUAUUGUGACUGUGUGAACCAAAUCUGACAGGUGAAUAUAAUUAUUUGAAAAAAGUUGAAUUACAUUCAAUUUUGAUUUGUUUCAAACAAGUUCUAUAAAAUUAAAAAUGUUUAUAAAUUGUUCUUUACUGCAGAUCUCACAUGUUAUUUAUGGAAGGAAGCACGAAGUUCUCUGUAUGUUUCUGAUUUAAAAAUCCACAAACGCACUUUUUAUAAAGACAGCUGAGUGGUGACAGUGAUUUCAACAUCCUAGUCUGAGUUUAAAUAAAGGGAAACAAACACUAAAGUGUCUUUAAUCUGUGUUUGAACCUGUUUCAACAAAUCUGUCAGAAACCAAACAGCUAAACACAUUUACCUUUAAAUUCCUGCUUUGUUUUGAAAUUAUGUAAUAUUGUGAGUUAGCUUUUAGUCUGCUCUUUAGGGUGUUUUUCAGCAUUAUUUAUUCUCACUUUUAUUUUUAGAUUUUCAGUUUCUUGUUUACUUUAUUAAAUAUAAUAACUUGUCCCCAUGGUUAUUUAACUUGUUUAAAGUAAAGUGAAACAAUGUUUUGCUUUAAGACGGCCUUUAAUAACAUAUCAAACUAAUUUACUUGAAAGUGUCUUAAAAGAUCAUUUCCCUUAAACUGUUUGUACCUUCAUCAGCCAGCAGGGGGAGGCAUUUGCUUAAUAAGAGUGCUCUUAAACUCACUGCAGGUGAAACCUGAAGAAGCCACGGUUUGAUAUCCUGCACAAAGGAAACCAAAAGUAGGACAAUCACAGAAUCUGUGCUCACAUCAUUAGACAGCUAAAUUUCACCCUAAGUUAGUGUCUGUAUGUGUGAAAUAUAAUAAUAAAUUAUUCUACAGCUGC